rnacentral:misc_RNA from 1 species
AGGUUAACAUUGAGGUCCCUUUUGCAUUUAGUGCAAUUCCAGUUCAAGCAAUGGAAUCAAGUGGGACAAGAAUCCUUGAACAAAUACUUGGGCUUAUGCUUCCGCGGCACAGCUUGUGAAAGACUAUCAAGCAUGGGCUACUGGUGACACCUCAAGGCAGCCUCUUGGAACAGGUAAGAUUUGAGAUUUGAGGAAAGCAGCG